GUGUCAGCCGCCGCGGUAAUACGGGGGGGGCUAGCGUUGUUCGGAAUUACUGGGCGUAAAGGGCUCGUAGGCGGCCAACUAAGUCAGACGUGAAAUCCCUCGGCUUAACCGAGGAACUGCGUCUGAUACUGGAUGGCUGGAAUCUGGGAGAGGGAUGCGGAAUUCCAGGUGUAGCGGUGAAAUGCGUAGAUAUCUGGAGGAACACCGGUGGCGAAGGCGGCAUCCUGGACCGGCAUUGACGCUGAGGAGCGAAAGCCAGGGGAGCAAACGGGAUUAGAAACCCUAGUAGUCC
rnacentral:rRNA from 1 species